GCAGUCCUUCCUGUAUGGGAACCAUGUGUUGAAAUCUGGUCUGGGUCGAAUCACUGAAAAUACUUCUCAGUACCAGGGCGUGGUGGUGUACUCCAUGGCAGACAUCCCUUUGGGUUUUGGGGUGGCAGCCAAAUCUACACAAGACUGCAGAAAAGUAGACCCCAUGGCGAUUGUGGUAUUUCAUCAAGCAGACAUUGGGGAAUAUGUGCGGCAUGAAGAGACGUUGACUUAAAACGAAGCCAUUCCAAGGACAGACGGCUGUAUGGAAAGGCCGAGCUUUGUUUCCUGUGUUUGUGUGGACUCCACCAUCAUGUUGAAUUUUGUCAACACUCUGGCCUCUUCAGGGACUUCUUAUUUACUGUACUCUCUAUCACUGACAAAUGCAGGCUGGAUUCUUAUUAUAUACAGAGAUGGCUCAAAAAUGGGGUUUCAGAUCUUUGUGACGAAAUAGAAUACUGUUUCAUAUUUGAAUCAGAGGGCUUCUUGUUCUGAGAAAUAGGUUCAAAAUCAUUGGAACCAGGAACAAGAAUAGCUUAUUGUUAUCUGUGAUAACACUGUUUUCUAAACACAAGGAUUUUCUUUUUUAUUAAUAUGCAACAUAGACAUUGCCAUAACAGAAUAAUAAACCACAUGUGGGGUUUUAAAAAUGAAAUUUGGCUAAUAGGAGCAAUUCAGCUAUUUUUCUAUACAGUAAUUGGUGUGUGGUAUAGAAGAAAAACGGGUUCAAACCCCACUUCUGCCACCUACCAGCUAUAUGGCCUUGAAUGAGUCAUUCAGCUUUAAUAAGGUUCAUUUUCUUCUGUUUAAAAAGACACAAAACUUGAAAAUCAGCUUUGGCCAUCUACCUGAGAAUUAGAAAGUCUGAUUUUUGGAAUUAGAAAUCAUGAUUGUAGGCUGGGCACAGUGGCUCGCGCCUGUAAUCCCAGCACUUUGGGAGGCCAAGGCGGACGGAUCACUUGAGGUUAGGAGUUUGAGACCAGCCUGGCCAACAUGGUGAAACCCCAUCUCUACU
rnacentral:lncRNA from 1 species